rnacentral:lncRNA from 1 species
CUUACUUUCUCCUUUGUUACAGAGAUGUACAAUUAAUAUUUCACUUUGUAUUUUAGACACUCUUGCAAGCAUUAUUUUAAACAGGCAAACAGGGACCACUUCCAAGAUAAAGAAAGUCGCCAUUCUUUUGAUGAUGAAUUCAUAAUGAAGGGAAUCCUCAUUCCAAAUGGACUUCUAUAAGGCACCAUUCCCCUGAAAUUAAUGUUCCUAGAAAAAUAAAUGUCCUGUCAAGGCAUUCCUUCAAUGACAUCUUGUCACACAAGUCUAUAUCCAAGGCUGCCCACAAAGUGGAAAAAUGGGGAAAAUUGUCUCACCUUGUCACCCUUGCUGGAGUGUAGUGGUGUGAUCAUGGCUUACUGCAACCUUAUCUCCUGGGAUUGAUUGAUCUUUCCACGCCUCCUGAGUGGCUGGGACUACAGAUGUGCACCACCAUGCACCACUAUUUUUUUUUUUUUUUUUGUAUUUUUCUGUAGAGAUGAGGUUUUGCCGUGUUGCCCAGGCUGGUCUUGAACUCCUGGAAUCAAGCAAUCUACUCACUUCAGCUUCCCAAAGUGCUGGCAUUAUAAGUGUCAGCCACUGUGCCUGGCUCGAGUUUAACUUUUACAGAACUUACAUCUACAUAGAUGUGAGAGCAUGCAGUAUUUGUUUUUCUGUGUCCAGAUUAUUUCACUUAACAGAAUGUGAUCUAGGUUCAUCCAUGUUGAAACAGAACAGACUCAUAAUAAUUGCUUCAAAUUCAUUGUUAAAUUUUACAUCUGGGUAAUCUCUAGGUUAGUUUCUAUUCAUCUCUUUUUUAUUAAAAUUCUCAUGUAUAUUAUUUUCAUGUCAAGUAAUUUUUGAGUAAUUACUGAGCAUUUUUAUAACAUAGAAUCUCUUUUUCCUAUGCCCUCUGCAUAUAAGGAUGAUGUUAAAAAUAGCUAAAUUUCUGAUCUCCAGCCUCUUUUUGUUGUUCCCAAUUUGAUUAGAUUUAGGUUAUAUAAUCAUGUUCUUUUGAAAUGACCUUAUAUUCCUCAUUGAUAUAGAGUCCCAUCAAAAUCAAGCAAAAAGAAAAUACAAAUGGAAAGAAAGCAUUUUCAGAAUUAAUUUAUUAUAUAACAUUUAUAAAAACUUUGAUUUAACUAAUGCUUAGUGUGC